rnacentral:rRNA from 1 species
GACGAACGCUGGCGGCGUGCUUAACACAUGCAAGUCGAGCGGAAAGGCCACUUCGGUGGUACUCGAGCGGCGAACGGGUGAGUAACACGUGAGUAAUCUGCCCCUGGCUUCGGGAUAGCCACCGGAAACGGUGAUUAAUACCGGAUAUGACCAUUGCACGCAUGUGUGGUGGUGGAAAGUUUUUCGGCGAGGGAUGUGCUCGCGGCCUAUCAGCUUGAUGGUGAGGUAAUGGCUCACCAUGGCUUCGACGGGUAGCCGGCCUGCGAGGGUGACCGGUCACACUGGGACUGAGACACGGCCCAGACUCCUACGGGAGGCAGCAGUGGGGAAUAUUGGACAAUGGGCGGAAGCCUGAUCCAGCAACGCCGCGUGAGGGAUGACGGCCUUCGGGUUGUAAACCUCUUUCGCCUGUGACGAAGCGCAAGUGACGGUAACAGGUAAAGAAGCACCGGCCAACUACGUGCCAGCAGCCGCCGUAAUAC